rnacentral:snRNA from 1 species
AGCUUUGUGCAGUGGCAGUAUCGUAGCCAAUGAGGUUUAUCUGAGGCGCGAUUAUUGCUAAUUAAUGUUAGUGUAGUUUUAAAGGUGAGUACCAAUUAUUCUAACAAUCAGGGUC